CCGUGCUCCCCCUAUAUGAAUUGUGUAUACAAUAUAUUUAAUUAAGUACGAAAAUAACCUCAGUGAGGAGAAGCUGUGUGAGCCUUGUCGAUGAGAGAGGUCAGAGAUGCAUGUCCAAACAGGUUUAAUCUGACAGGAAGUCUAUGGUAACUCAUGGUCAUAUAGAUCCUGUGCCCACUGCAGCCUCAGCGUCCUGUUCUCGACUGACAGGAGAGGAACCCCGUACGGUCUCCUGCCCUUAUAGCUCUUAUAGUGUCGAGGCGCUUUUCUGAUCACCACAGUUGUACUGUAAUGCACAGAUAUUUGAGUCUUAGUUGUCAUAGUCUUCCUGUCAGCUCAAACCAGUCCAGUCUCCUCAUGUCCGGUCUCCUCUGACCUCUCUGAUGCACAACACGACACUCACUGGAUUGUUUUUUUGUUUUUGUUUGUUGUUCGCACUAUUCUAUGUGAACGCAUGAGUCUGGUUGUGUGAAGAAAAAAAAAUCCCAGGAGCUCAGCAGCUCCUGAAAUACUCACACCAGCCCAUCUGGCACCAGCAACUAUGCCACAUGGUUGAAGUUGCUGAGAUCACAUUUUUUCCCCUAAUUUUGAUGUUAGAUUUAAACUGCAGUGGCCUUGGGUCUUAAAUAAUACAGCACAUCUUAUUAUUUACAGGAAGAAGCACAGAAACUGUAGCAUGUGGUGACUAUAACAGCUCCUUUUUCAGCAUGGAUCCUGCGCUACAGUAAAACAAAGAAAAUUCCAACUCCAGUCGGAUCCCAGAAAUCCCAGAAAUAGCACCUGGGCCAUCUGUCUGUCGUCAUCUGUCCAGCUGGAGAGAGACUUUGCCUACUGUAGCCUCAGAUUCCUGCUCUUCACAGGACAGAGGACAGGACUGGACAUCCGAGUUGGAUAACAGCCAGGGCAAGCAGGAAACAUAUUCCAUAUUCCCAUAAUACAGCUGUAGAAGUGUGACUGGUAGCCUCAUCAUGGUCUCAGUGGGGAAGAUGGAUGGACUUCCUCUUUAUGUGCUGAAAGUGCACUUGCUGCGGGAGUGCACAUCACCUGUUCUUGGGCAAUGCGGACGUGGGCCUUGCGGCUCUUGGUGGUACCAGCUGAGCUCCAGGCCACACACUGGCACCAGAAAUCCUCGAGUCCAAAGAGCUCCUCCACCUGCUGCCUUGUGAUCUCAAUACUCGCCUCCCUCACCACCAGACCUGAGAGAAACACAGACCAGAAGAUGAGCUUCAAAAGCGUCAACACGUCACAAGCAACGGUGAUCAAGUUACAGAUGACUUGGAGACUGAAGAAAGGUGGUCGCUCUUUAUCUGUUGCUAAGGAUACGACGAUGGAUGAGACGCAGACGGUGCAUGAGACGCAGACCGAAGAUGGAUGAGACGCAGACAGACGAUGCAUGAGACGCAGACGGUGCAUGAGAUGCUGACAGACGUUGGAUGAGGCGCAGACGAGACGCAGACGUUGGAGUCACGCAACCACCUUUGUCGCAGGAUUUGUUUAUGAUAUACAGCAUUUUUGCGGUGAUGUGAUCGUGCCCCUCACUUCCACCCUCACCACACGCAGUAUAAGCAUAUAACAUGAUGUGGUUUAUAUAAUAAAAUGAAUCUCACAAGGCAGACUUUUACAUUUAAACAUGCUUGUGGUUUGAGCUCGAUCAGCGUCACGUGCCAAUCAGCGUCACGUGACCUCAAACACUGCAGCUUCGAAUAAUAAACUCCUAAUUAACGCUAGACGUCGUUCUAUAUAACGCUUUUUUUUCUUUUAAGAAAACAUUCAGAUGUAUUAUAUAUUAAUUGACUAAUUUUCCCUCCCAAAACUAACUAAAAUUCUAGGACAAAACAAACAUUUGCUCAGUUAGCAUCAGAGGUGAAAAUUUUGGCUGGGAAAAAAAUCCAUUCACUCUCACUCAUUUUCUACCGCUUAUCCGAACUACCUCGGGUCAACGGGAGCCUGUGCCUAUAUCAGGCGUCAUCGGGCAUCAAGGCAGGAUACACCCUGGACAGAGUGACAACCCAUCGCAGGUGGGAAAAAAUUGAUAAGUGUAAAAUAAUUUUUUUUCUUCCCAUUUGCUAAGUUAGGUAGCCGUUCUUUGACGAUAGCUUGUGUAUUAUUAGCAUAUCAAACAGUCAUUAAUUAGUUAAAGCUAGCUAGCUAAAUCUUACUGAAACUUGUGUAUAUAUUCUAGAGUUAGGUGAAUAUUCAUUACCUAAGAAUACAAGUUAGCUACUUAAUUUUCUUUGCAAAGUUUACCAGAGGUUAUCUCAUUCUAGCCUCUCUUAGAUUUUCUGUGUUGAGAUCUAAUUCAAGAAAUUAAUGUGAAGGCUAUAUUGGAAAAGCUGUCUAGUUUCUUUUAUAAAUUAUCUGGUGUUUCUAAAACUUUUUUAGCCAAGUUAGCUAGCUAGUUUUCUUUUUAACCUUGUAAAAGCUAAAACCUAAAAAGGCUGCCUUAAGAAAGAAACAUUAAAUAGACCUACAACGUAUAAAAUCGAACACUUUGCAAGUCUGUUUAAUCAUUUUUAUGAUUUGCAAGCUAAAUCAUUUUAGAUUUUAAUGACUAAUUUGAAAGCGAUGUUUUUUCCUGGAAACUGCGUUUCGGAUUAUGGAUUAUUCAGCAGGACACUAUGGAUUAUUUUUCUUUUGGGGUUUUUCAAGUCUGAUUUUUAUUUUCAUUCAGUUCUUUCCAGAGAAAGUUGGAGUGAUGUAGAGCUAGUCAGAGAUAAGGAGAGAUGCAUGUUUCCAAUGCUUUCACUACAACAGCGUUGGCGGUUCUGUUGCUGUGCUGUCAUUGUUCUGUCAGGGAGUUCUGUCACACCCAUGUAGCUAGCUAUAAGGAAGGGUGGUAUCAGAUACGAAUCGUACAACCUCCAUCGAGUAAGGAUGCAUGGCAGAAAGAAGCUUGUAGACCCUAUGCACCCCAUCUGUAUGCCAUCAUGUGUGUGAGUGUUUCUUCAUGGUAGGGUGCAACUCUUUGAUGGUGCGCUCUGGGAUGUAAUUCGAGAACGGGGCCUGUUAUCACGAAAGCCAUCUUGGAACAGUCAGACUGGAACUCAACCACACCUCACCCUCUUAACACUGGGCAAACAAGUUAAGAAAAAAAAGGGGGCAGAAAAGCACCCGAGAUGUGUGGGGUGGAGGUAAUGUGGCCACUGAGCCAUGACGCAGUGCAAGGUUUUUACCUUCUAGCAAUGUAUUUGUUAAUCUUGAUCAUGCCCCACACACCCUGCUUGAAAAACAGAACAAUGCACAUAAAGCAACUAAUAGUUUCAGGUAAAUUUUUGGCAGUGUUGUUUGUCAAGUUGUGCUUGCUGAACCAAGCUAGCUUACUUUUCCACCCCUGCAAUAUCCAAUUCUGCAAUUUUCCUUUAAUCAGUAAACGUAGCAGCUUGCUAACAUGUCGGCAUUAAAAUCUAAUUUCAUAACUUUUAUGAGAAAUUAUCACGGUGUGCACGAAUAUUCUCCAUAUUUUAUAUCAUCACGUCUAAGAAGUGGUGCUUUCUGCAGCUAAAUAUAGUCAUUAAUAAUGAUCCGGCCUCGUAUGUGGGUGCUCGCUGUUUACACACUUCUGCAUAAGCAGAUUAUAUUAAUACAUUCAUCUUAUAAAAAAAAGAAGUAAAAGCCAACUACAGAGUUGCUUUGACACUUUGAACAGAUUGUUUUUACACCACCUUUGCCACAGUGUUUUUGACUUUCUGUCUUCAUAUACUGUAUGUUGGUAAGGGGAAAAUAUUUUUGUUCGACCUUUUUUUUUUUUUUUAUUCCCCCCCCAACGAAUGAGAACAUAUGAACCAUAACUGCAAACCUGCUCUGCUAGGAAAAGCAUUACAUACACAGCUUCUGUUAAAGAAAGAGCAUGUUUAUGAAUGAUUUAUGAUUAAGGCGCGUGUGACAGCCAUUUAGUGUUUUUCAGUAGUUCGGUAUAUUAAGAAUUAAUUGGUGUCUAAAGAUAAAUAACAUGUAAACAAUAUG